UCCUGUAGAAACUCAGGGACUUACUUAGGAGAGUCCUACUGACUUUGAGGCGCAUAGCCUCUAGCAAAAAGAAUAUCAUUGUCUAAGUUCAAGUUCCAUUGGGAAGAUGGAAGCAAAAUGUGUAUUUGUGACACCACUGUCCCCUCUUUCUGCACCAUCUCCUACUUCCCCUGUCUUCCCAGAUGCCCAGGGGCCUAGCCUGCACCGUGGUGUCCCGUGUUCCUCUACAGGGCCCGCCAAAAGCCUGUCUUUCCUGGACAUACUCUGAAGCUAACCAAAUCUCAUCUUCUAACAAUUGUUACUACCCUGUAUCCUAUUACUUACGGACCCGUUUUUGUUUUGCUUUGUUUUUGUUUUGCUGGGUGAAAGAUAAUAAUCUGAAAAAUCCAUUUCUGGAGCUCAACUUGAAUGAACCACAUUCCAAGUGUUCCAUAGCUUCGUGUGGCAGGUGGCCACCAUAUUGGACAGUGCAGGGAUAGAGCAAUUACUGGCAAGCAGCUCUACUACCGGGGACUUCAUUUCCUGGCUACCUGCAUCACGGAAGGGCCAGCUGGAGGCAAAUGGACAUGGAGCCUAUUAAAGAUGGUACAAGAAGGAAGAAGCUUUGGUUUUUUGAAUCAUUACUUUGAAGAGAGCCUGCCAUCAACUGGAAGUAUUUGUUUUGGAUGUUGAACAAGCAAAGCAUGAAUUCGUUUGUUCAUUUGAACGGCUUUACAUUUUGGGGUUUAUUUUUUAGCCAUUCCUGUAGCCUAUCUAAUAUACCCACAUUUCCCUGUACCUGUGUUAAAUGGUUCUUCUAUUUCUUGCAGCAAGUGACACCCUAACCCAUGUAUGUGAAUAUCCGGGUAGCCAAGGCUUUGGAGAUGAGUGGUUCGUCUGUGUGUGUUUUACCUGGGACAUUUUUAGUCUGCAGACUUUAUUUGGAAAAAUAAGGCACUGAAAACAAAAUAGAGGAGGACAUGGAUAAGUUACAAAACUCUCAGAAGAAAACAUAUGACAAAAGCUUCAUAAUGUUGGAUUUGGCAAUGAUUUCUUGGAUGUGACACCAAACGCACAGGCAAUAAAAGAAAAAAUAGACCAGACUUCAUAAAAAUAAAAACUUUUGUGUGCCAAUAGACAGUAUUAACAGAAUCAAAAGAAUGUUUGGGAGAGAGUAUUUGCAAGUUAGAUAUCUGAUGAAAGAUUAAUAUUAAGAAUAUAUAAAGAACACCUAAAACUCAACAACAAAACCAACAACCCAAUUCAAAAAUGGGCUUGAAUAGACAUUUCUCUAAAGAAGGUAUUUGAAUGGCCAAUAAACACAUGUAAAGAUGCUCAACAUCACUAAUCAUGAGGUAAAUGCAGAUCAAAGCUGCAGUGAGAUGCCCCCUCAUACCCACAAAGAUGGCUACUAUAAAAAACAAACA